UCGAACCCACAACCUCAUGGUUCCUAGUUGCAUUCGUUAGCCACUGAGCCAUGACGGGAACUCCGAAAAAGUGUAUUUUAAUUUUUAAACAAUCAAACUGGAAUGGGAUCAAGAUGGUGGUUUGGUAAGUGUUGACUUAAUCAGCACAGGAAGUGAAAGUCACUAAAUUAUUUCUGUUCCAAGCUCCACUUUGGGCCAUUAAUUCCUCCCUCUGGCUGCCCUGGUGGCCUACCCUGGCCCUGAUCUAGCAUCAGCCCAGCCUCCCUUCGCAUCCUGACCUUGACAGUGUACUUGUCUGCUUCCAGAACUGAACCAGAAGCCUUUAGAAGGCAGGAUCUGUCUCUUUGCUCAGGACGCAGCCCCUGUGGGUCCAGCCCCUGAUGUGGGACACUGCUGCAAUAUUUGUGGGAAAAAAUGGACACAUUAACCAAAUUCAAAAAUUGCCGCUCCCCUUUCUAUGAGUAAAUCUGGGAGCUCCCAACCUUCCAGCUAGAAAGGCACGGAGGCAAAGUGGUGUUCAAGGCAGCACAUCCAUUCUGCUUAAUGCCUCUGGCUUCUUGGAAGGUUGUCCCAGAGCCAGCAAGACGAGAUGUUUUCUUUCCUUUUUCUUUGGAUCCUAAAUUAUUUCUGAAAGUUACAGCAUUUUGGAUUUGUAUUGUUUAUUAGCUGUCACUUUUGUUUUUCCCCCCCUUCUCUGGACCUGGUUGAACUUGACGGUCCCCUCUGAAGCUGUUCCUCAUAUGGAAAGUUCCCCCGUCAGCGCGCCAUAAAUAAUCAAGGCUGGGUGCAUUCCAUGGCCUUCUCUGGCUUCGUUCUCCCUCCAGCCUCCCAUCUGCACGGCUCCAGGUUCCUGUGGUCCCAGUGACAUGGUUGCUGGCAAGCAAUGCUCAGCUUCAUGUAUUUAUUGGGAUUCUCAGAUCUGGACUGGUUUGCUCCAUUCAAGCUGCUGACAUGCUUUGUGAGGUACGUAUUUUAUAGCGUCUCCCCUUUUCACUGGGACUGAACAGAUUCUUAGCUUCAACUUGCUACUGACUGUCCUGACAGCAGACCGUCAGCGGCUUAUCUCAUCUGGGAGUGCCAUCCAAUAUGUAUUUUAUCCACAUCUACGUCUUCAGGAAUGGUCCUUCUCAAGGCGAAAUGUUUAUUGUAUCUGGGAUUUGGUCACGGUCAUAGUUAUCCCCAGAAGAAACCGCAGUUUGACAAGCAUGUUUUGAACUUGGGUUUAGGAGGCAGAUGUGAGCUGAGUAGCACAACACAUCUUCCGUACUCUGAAGUGUGAGACUGUUUCAAUGUGGUGUUUAACCCUAGGAGAAGAGCCACCAUCUAUCCAGGGAAACCAAAUGUGACAGCUGAACGAGAGUUGAAAAAAGGCUUUACUGGAUUCAGCUGAGCUGACAUUCAGAAUGGCCUCAGCGACGUUGUGAAAGAGGAAAACGUCUCACCCCUCAGCUUGAGCCUCUUCUGCCUGACGGGACCGCACCAUGGCCCUCAGAUAAAAUGGUGUGACAGAAAUCUGGUCCUCUGAAGAAGAUGCAAAUUCUGACCGCAUUGGAACCUUCCAGAACCAACAGCCCUCCUCUCCUCUCCAGCCUCUCGCCAUCCCCUUGCCUACGAGAAGCAGACCAUGCCUGGCCAGUUUCUCUGAGCAUGUAGGUGUGACCUCGUCCUCCAGGCUUCACUGUCUGGUUUCAUGUUCUGCCCUCUGCCAGGCCUGUGGUAUAACUGGUCAGAGACUCUGGCGAAAGAAAGAGCCGCCUGGACUUGAAAGCCAUCUGUAUCCUUCCAUCAUCUCCAGGGCGUGCUUCUGAAAUGAGACCAAGUCUCUCAUCUCUGCCGCCUCCCAGGUCAGGUCCCCAGCACCGCCACGAAGGCUGAAAUUCUGCUUGUCACGUGGCUGUCACGUGGCCCAGACCCCUCAAAGGUAAUAGCUGCAUCCUCCUGUGUGUAUUCCUCCGAAGCCCCCCUUUCUCUGUGUUGGUGUGUUGGCUGGAAGAGGACUGGUUCCCCUGUUUAGAGCAGCUUCAGUCUGUCUCAAGUCACCAAAAAAUUUUUAAAAAGUGUUUAUAGAACUACUCCUGGGUCUUCCAGGGAGCUUCCCCAAGUCAACGCAACACCUGAGCGCCCAGCUCAUGUGUAGACCCCCACCCUGGGCCCGCCCUGGCCCACCCCAAACAGAGCAGCCUGGGUCUGGGGAGCUCUUCCAGACCUCUGGUCACGGGGUUUAUCUGGGCGGUGCUGCUUCCAGGUGGUUCUUUUCCCCUUGCACGUGGAUAGGAGCACGGGAUCUGAUUCUCAUUGAUUAUAAAAGACACUAGGAAAGAAGGAAGUUGGCCGGUGUUGGCCCAUGAUCGAGUAUUUUCCCUUUGCUUUCAUUUUCAUCACUGCCCUGAAACACGCCUGCCUCCAGCCCUCAUCAUCUCAUAUGGAAAAUCAUAAUCACAGUACUGCUGGUACCUCUGAGGGCCUGUGUUACUGAAGAGGGCAAGCGUCUGCCAGACUCACUAAGGACUGGUGCUUCUGUGGGUCCUGUGGGAUUCGUCGGGGAUGUCAGUCAAGUGGGAAGAUUUCCACAUCCCAGAGUCCAUGGCCAUGCUGGACACUGACUGGCCUCCUGGUUGACCUCCCAGAAGAGAAAAAGCUCUGGGCCCCAACGCUGAGCGGUUGGCUGAAGAGUUGAGACAAUAGUGGGAAACCGUGCUGUGUCCAGCCCAGGCUUGCUCUCUGCUGGGGAGCAAGGAUGAAGUUUUGUGGGAGAGUUCCAGAAUAGUGUGGCUGUAUAAGUGGUUAUUCCUCACUGGAUACCCCCCUCUGGCUCUUGGAGCAUCCUCGGAUCACUUCUGGAAAACGAAAUGCAAACUUGUUGAGAUUCCACUUCUUUGUAAUCUUCUUGCUGUGAAAAUUGAAGAAGCCCAUGGAAAAUUCCAGUUUCCUAAAGCAAGAAUAUAUUAAAUUCAUUUCGUCUGUCAUCCGAGGAGAAUUGGAGCCUGCAUUUUUAUUACCGACUGAUGUGUGUUCAUCCUUGGAUUUUUUUUUUUUUUUUGAAAUGUUUACAAUGUAAUUAAAAACAAUCAAGUCAAAUUAUCUAUUUGAAUUGGUCCCUUUGGGGGAAGAUUAAAGAGCAGAAAAGGUGCCUGCGAUGACAUCAUUUUUUGCUAAGCAUCGCUGCCCCCUCACACAGAAGUACAUCCUGGAUCUGGUCAACAAGAGCAUUCUGUAAUGUCGCUGGUGAUUUAACAGUUACAAAAUAUUGUAAUUAAGCGUUUGAAUGCUCUCAUACGUUUUCCCAUUACAAAUGAUCUUGGAACUUGAUUAAUUUCAGCCCUUAGAAAGGUCCUGGAUUCGGUAAUGUUGUUGCCUAUAAAGCACCCCUCCAGGGAAAACUAUGAUCUGAAUUCUGAAGUCAGAUCCAAUUAAACUCAUGCCUUUUCCCCACUUGGAGCCAUAAGACAACAGCAUUUUUCAGGCAUGGUUCAAACAGGCUGGUCAGGUUUCUGGGGCUCUGCAUGCCUAGGGCCAGCCGUGAAAAAGCAUUCCCUAGAAACGGUCUCAUAAUCAGGAAGAAAAAUGAUAAAUCCACAAAGGCAGGGGCGGCUGCACACGGUUCUGGGCACAGCACUGACUCAGCAUUGGAGCAGCCUGCCCCAAGUCAGGAGAUGGCACAGCAAUUUAACACUUUGCUGGUCACCAAGAGGUAGAUGGCUGGAAAGUCCUAGAGCCGAAAAUGAAAUCUCUGUAUUGAGAUGUCAUAAGGGGAAAAAGGCUUCCAACAGAAUUGGCCUUGGGGCAGGAGCAAAUCCUUGGAUAAGCUGUCAAAUGAGAAAUUAGCCGGCAGGGGGCCAUUGAUCAAGCCUCCUUAUUUUUCAAGUUCAUUUAAAGAUUCCCCAGAUGAUAUAUAGAAACAACGUUCUGUGCCUUGAGUUUAUCCUCCAGGGAGUUGAAUGUUGGAUAAUUUUGCUCUGUCAGACUUUUUUUUCCUGACUUUGGUAUGAAAUAAACAAACCUCACCAACAAUGAAAACCCCGGGGCUAAUGAAGAUCAAGCAAAUGAAUUGUCAAAAGAAAACCGCUUUCUCUUCCCCAGAGGAUGGUUGCCAGUCUGUUUGCUUUGGAAGAUUGAAACAGCUCUGCCCAAAUGGGCAAUAAAUGCAAACCCCAAAUUUUGCUGCAAAGAAUGUUGUUUUUAAGAAGGAUCUUGUUUUGUGCAUUUUCCUCUCUGACCUAAGUAGGAGGUCUUUGGCAUGUAAUAUAAAUGCCAAUCUCUUUUAUCACUCCCUUUUUUAAAAAUCUUUUUUUUGGCUGCUCCAAGGUACAUGGAGUUCCCAGGCCAGGGAUCAGAUCCAAGAGCCACAGUGGCAAACCACGCUGCAGCGGCGGCAAUGCCGGAUCCUUAACCCACUGUGCCGGCCUGGGACCCUGUAUCCUGGCACUCCAGAGAUGCCACUGAUCCUGUCGCACCAUAGCCGGAAGUCCUCUCUUAUCACUCUUAGUGUAUAAAAAGGAUCAGACUUUAGGUUUAGAGCAUCAGAGGGGAGCAUCAGUGGGCCAGGCCAUCGGUGCUGAAUCUUUGGCUCCCGAGUCCCUCACCAGUUCUGGCACUCCCACCCCCAUCCCAGGUGAGGCUGGUUCAGCAGUACUGACUUCUGCAUAACCUGUCACUUCCCUUUUCUCCUGCUGCUCCUGUGCUCCUCACAUCAGUAUCGGCCUGGGCAUGAAUACAUCUUUAAGAUGAGCCCAGGUCCUUCUACACAUUCGCCUCAAGGGUAGCAAGAGUGGUGGGGUUUUUUGUUUGCUUUUUAUUUUUUAUUUUUAUUUGUCUUUUUGCCUUUUCUAGGGCCACUCCCACGGCAUAUGAGGGUUCCCAGG